CCUUGGGGCGCAAACCGGAUUAGAUACCCGGGUAGUCCAGGGCGCAAAACGCUGCCUGUUUGAUGUNAGCUGGGCUCCGAGCCCAGCUAGUGUCGGAGCGAAGGUGUUAAGCAGGCUGCCUGGGAAGUACGGUCGCAAGACUGACUACUUAAAGGAAUUGGCGGGGGAGCACAGCAACGGGUGGAGCGUGCGGUUUAAUUGGAUUCAACGCCGGAAACCUCACCGGGGGUGACGGUUACAUGAAGGCCAGGCUGAUGACCUUGCCUGNUUUUCCGAGAGGUGGUGCAUGGCCGCCGUCAGUUCGUACCGUAAGGCGNUCUGUUAAGUCAGACAACGACCGAGACCCUCAUCCCUAAUUGCUACUUGUCUCUCCGGAGGCAAGGCACAUUAGGGAGACCGCUGGCGAUAAGCCAGAGGAAGGCGAGGGCAACGGUAGGUCAGUAUGCCCUGAAUCCCCCGGGCUACACGCGCGCUACAAAGGCCAGGACGAUGGGUUCCGACACCGAAAGGUGAAGGUAAUCCGAAACCUGGUCAUAGUUCGGAUCGAGGGUUGAAACUCACCCUCGUGAAGCUGGNAUUCCGUAGUAAUCGAGGAUUNACACAUNACCGCGGGAAUAGC
rnacentral:rRNA from 1 species